UACGUAGGGGCCUAGCGUUGUCCGGAUUUAUUGGGCGUAAAGAGCUCGUAGGCGGUUUGGUGAGUCGGGUGUGAAAUCUCCACGCUCAACGUGGAGGGGCCACCCGAUACUGCCAUGACUAGAGUCCGGUAGGGGAGCGUGGAAUUCCUGGUGUAGCGGUGAAAUGCGCAGAUAUCAGGAGGAACACCAGCGGCGAAGGCGGCGCUCUGGGCCGGAACUGACGCUGAGGAGCGAAAGCGUGGGGAGCAAACAGG
rnacentral:rRNA from 1 species